UGCAAAACUAAAAAAGGACGGCAAGUUUGAAAAUGUUUCCAAGCCUGCACCUGAUCCUCCAGGAAUAAUGCCGUGAUCUCAAGAUCUUUGUUCUUUUCGAAAGUACCAAAGUGGGUAUCAUGAAAGCACUCACAGAAGCAUUGAAGAACAAUAAAGUGUUCAGCAGAAGAUAGCAGGCGUGCUGUGCUUCAAACUCAAGAGGCCAGUGAACAAGGAAGAGCAGGUCGGUUGCAUGCUUGAUUGACGAAAUAAUGUGGAUAAAAUCCUUAUUAAUUUGGAUGAUGUUUUGACUAAACUGUAGCCUCACAACAUGACAAAGCCAUGGUUAUCAGAGGUGAGAUUUCAAAGACCGAUCAUCCCACUUGAUGUCCUAUUUGAACACGAGUAGUGGGACUUGCUGAUCAAAACGAUUGCCGGUGACCUCAUCGAGUCUCCCACGUUGAGACCCGUGGCAGAGGAGGCUUGCGGAGAAUGUGGAAGAAACAUCCAAAGUGAGUGGCAAAAGAAUAGUCGUUUCCACUGAAUGCCAUAUCCAGCUUCGAUGAGCUUGAAGAACUCGAUGUAAAAUCAUGUGGAGCGCUAACCUCAGAGCCCAAAAGUAUGCUGUUCGUGAGAAUGAGAUGCUUCCCCGCUUAAGAAAAGUUGUACUACGUAAUUUACCAGAACUGCACAUAUGGAAAAGUCCUAGUACUGAACUAUCACACAUGCACAGAGUUGUUACAGAGGACUUGCAAGGAUAAGAAGGAGAAGGGGGCAUUGAUAAUCUGGUGUUCCCUCAAUUAAAAGAGAUUUCAGCAUUCUAACUUCCCAACCUUGCAGGCUUUCCUAUCCCAAAGUGAAGAACUUUGCUGCUACUGUGAUUUCAGGUGGAAUCCAGAGAACCCCAAUGCUUAAGCCGAUCAAACUGGAUGGUGUUGAAAUAAUGCUUAACAGUAGGGAGUUGAUGAAUGCAGUCGUAGAAGGGUACUCAAGGUUCCUGUCAUUUUUCCUUUUCAUAAUCAUGACAUCUAUCAAUAUCAUGCUAAUUUACCUAAUUGUAUUCUGCAAUUUUAAGAAUCCAUGAUUUUCCAUGGCCUUUAACACGGUGUAUAAAAGAAGUUUUAAUUAUUUAGAUUGCUUCAUUCAUACUUGUGUGA